UAUAAGAGGUAUCACAAAAGUUUAAAAUAACAAAAUAUGCAAAAAUAUCUGCUGAACAUUUUAUUAGUUGACAACUUUUUUGUAUCU
ensembl:ncRNA Y65A5A.27 ncRNA